GGAGCUGUGGCUUAGGGGUAGAAGACCUGUUUGGCGUGCAGAAGGUCGCUGGUUCGAUCCCCGACAUCUCCC
rnacentral:tRNA from 1 species